GGCGGACGGGUGAGUAAUGCUUGGGAACUUGCCUUUGCGAGGGGGAUAACAGUUGGAAACGACUGCUAAUACCGCAUAAUGUCUAUGGACCAAAGGGGGCUUAGGCUCCCGCGUGAAGAGAGGCCCAAGUGAGAUUAGCUAGUUGGUGAGGUAACGGCUCACCAAGGCAACGAUCUCUAGCUGUUCUGAGAGGAAGAUCAGCCACACUGGGACUGAGACACGGCCCAGACUCCUACGGGAGGCAGCAGUGGGGAAUAUUGCACAAUGGGGGAAACCCUGAUGCAGCCAUGCCGCGUGUGUGAAGAAGGCCUUCGGGUUGUAAAGCACUUUCAGUUGUGAGGAAAGGUUGGUAGUUAAUACCUGCCAGCUGUGACGUUAACAACAGAAGAAGCACCGGCUAACUCCGUGCCAGCAGCCGCGGUAAUACGGAGGGUGCGAGCGUUAAUCGGAAUUACUGGGCGUAAAGCGCACGCAGGCGGUUUGUUAAGCUAGAUGUGAAAGCCCCGGGCUCAACCUGGGAUGGUCAUUUAGAACUGGCAGACUAGAGUCUUGGAGAGGGGAGUGGAAUUCCAGGUGUAGCGGUGAAAUGCGUAGAGAUCUGGAGGAACAUCAGUGGCGAAGGCGACUCCCUGGCCCAAGACUGACGCUCAUGUGCGAAAGUGUGGGUAGCGAACAGGAUUUAGAUACCCUGGUUAGUCCACACCGUAAACGCUGUCUACUAA
rnacentral:rRNA from 1 species